CGAACGCUGGCGGCGUGCUUAACACAUGCAAGUCGAACGGAAAGGCCCUGCUUUUGUGGGGUGCUCGAGUGGCGAACGGGUGAGUAACACGUGAGUAACCUGCCCUUGACUUUGGGAUAACUUCAGGAAACUGGGGCUAAUACCGGAUAGGAGCUCCUGCUGCAUGGUGGGGGUUGGAAAGUUUCGGCGGUUGGGGAUGGACUCGCGGCUUAUCAGCUUGUUGGUGGGGUAGUGGCUUACCAAGGCUUUGACGGGUAGCCGGCCUGAGAGGGUGACCGGCCAAAUUGGGACGGAGAUAAGGCCCAGACUCCUAGGGGAGGAAGCAGGGGGGAAUAUUGCACAAGGGGGGGAAGCCUGAGGCAGCAACGCCGGGGGGGGGAUGACGGCCUUGGGGUUGUAAACCGCUUUCGCCGGGGACGAAGGGUGAGUGACGGUAAGGGGUAAAGAAAAAACGGCUAACUACGU
rnacentral:rRNA from 1 species